rnacentral:rRNA from 1 species
UGGAAGUAAAAAGUCGUAACAAGGUUUCCGUAGGUGAACCUGCGGAAGGAUCAUUACAGUAUUCUUUUUGCCAGCGCUUAAUUGCGCGGCGAAAAAACCUUACACACAGUGUUUUUUGUUAUUACAAGAACUUUUGCUUUGGUCUGGACUAGAAAUAGUUUGGGCCAGAGGUUUACUGAACUAAACUUCAAUAUUUAUAUUGAAUUGUUAUUUAUUUAAUUGUCAAUUUGUUGAUUAAAUUCAAAAAAUCUUCAAAACUUUCAACAACGGAUCUCUUGGUUCUCGCAUCGAUGAAGAACGCAGCGAAAUGCGAUAAGUAAUAUGAAUUGCAGAUUUUCGUGAAUCAUCGAAUCUUUGAACGCACAUUGCGCCCUCUGGUAUUCCAGAGGGCAUGCCUGUUUGAGCGUCAUUUCUCUCUCAAACCUUCGGGUUUGGUAUUGAGUGAUACUCUUAGUCGAACUAGGCGUUUGCUUGAAAUGUAUUGGCAUGAGUGGUACUGGAUAGUGCUAUAUGACUUUCAAUGUAUUAGGUUUAUCCAACUCGUUGAAUAGUUUAAUGGUAUAUUUCUCGGUAUUCUAGGCUCGGCCUUACAAUAUAACAAACAAGUUGACCUCAAAUCAGGUAGGUUUGCCCCCCUA